rnacentral:rRNA from 1 species
AAGUGGAGCAAUCCAUGAGUAUAGUGGCGACCGGGUGAGUAACACGUGACUACCUGCCCUUGAGUGGGGGAUAACCUCGGGAAACCGAGGCUAAUACCGCAUAAUAUCGCAAGAUCAAAGGAGCAAUCCGCUUUUGGAGGGGGUCGCGGCUGAUUAGCUAGUUGGUAAGGUAAUGGCUUACCAAGGCGAAGAUCGGUAUCCGGCCUGAGAGGGCGCACGGACACACUGGAACUGAAACACGGUCCAGACUCCUACGGGAGGCAGCAGUGGGGAAUUUUGCGCAAUGGGGGGAACCCUGACGCAGCAACGCCGCGUGGAGGAUGAAGCCCCUUGGG